rnacentral:rRNA from 1 species
AGAUCUGCACUGGGUGUAAAGGGUGCGCAGGCGGUUUUGUAAGACAGAGGUGAAAUCCCCGGGCUCAACCUGGGAACUGCCUUUGUGACUGCAAGGCUGGAGUGCGGCAGAGGGGGAUGGAAUUCCGCGUGUAGCAGUGAAAUGCGUAGAUAUGCGGAGGAACACCGAUGGCGAAGGCAAUCCCCUGGGCCUGCACUGACGCUCAUGCACGAAAGCGUGGGGAGCAAACA